rnacentral:lncRNA from 1 species
CUAAACAAGGGGAAGAAACAAAACCACUAGAGGAAACAAAAAAAAAAGUUCUGCUACUUAAAUGGGCUCCAGACACAGUGACCAACAAGGUCAGCAGGAGUUUUAAAAUGGGUAAGUACAGGUGGAUAUUACAUUAUCACCCUUCCAACAGCAACUAUGAAGAUAUGAAACAGGCAAAAUGAAAUGAAGACUUAUUGGAGGAAGCUACUAAUAGAAUU